rnacentral:rRNA from 1 species
CCUGAUCCAGCAAUGCCGCGUGUGUGAAGAAGGCCUUCGGGUUGUAAAGCACUUUUAUCAGGAGCGAAAUACUGCCGGCUAAUACCCGGCGGGGCUGACGGUACCUGAGGAAUAAGCACCGGCUAACUUCGUGCCAGCAGCCGCGGUAAUACGAAGGGUGCAAGCGUUAAUCGGAAUUACUGGGCGUAAAGCGUGCGUAGGCGGUUCUUUAAGUCUGCUGUGAAAUCCCCGGGCUCAACCUGGGAAUGGCAGUGGAUACUGGAGAGCUAGAGUGUGAUAGAGGAUGGUGGAAUUCCCGGUGUAGCGGUGAAAUGCGUAGAGAUCGGGAGGAACAUCAGUGGCGAAGGCGGCCAUCUGGAUCAACACUGACGCUGAGGCACGAAAGCGUGGGGAGCAAACAGGAUUAGAUACCCUGGUAGUCCACGCCCUAAACGAUGCGAACUGGAUGUUGGUCUCAACUCGGAGAUCAGUGUCGAAGCUAACGCGUUAAGUUCGCCGCCUGGGGAGUACGGUCGCAAGACUGAAACUCAAAGGAAUUGACGGGGGCCCGCACAAGCGGUGGAGUAUGUGGUUUAAUUCGAUGCAACGCGAAGAACCUUACCUGGCCUUGACAUGUCUGGAAUCCUG